UGGGGAAUCUUAGACAAUGGGCGCAAGCCUGAUCUAGCCAUGCCGCGUGAUCGAUGAAGGCCUUAGGGUUGUAAAGAUCUUUCGUGGGGGAAGAUAAUGACGGUACCCCAAGAAGAAGCCCCGGCUAACUCCGUGCCAGCAGCCGCGGUAAUACGGAGGGGGCUAGCGUUAUUCGGAAUUACUGGGCGUAAAGCGCACGUAGGCGGAUUGGAAAGUCAGAGGUGAAAUCCCAGAGCUCAACUUUGGAACUGCCUUUGAAACUCCCAGUCUUGAGGUCGUGAGAGGUGAGUGGAAUUCCGAGUGUAGAGGUGAAAUUCGUAGAUAUUCGGAGGAACACCAGUGGCGAAGGCGGCUCACUGGCACGAUACUGACGCUGAGGUGCGAAAGCGUGGGGAGCAAACA
rnacentral:rRNA from 1 species